rnacentral:rRNA from 1 species
GAUGAACGCUAGCGGCAGGCUUAACACAUGCAAGUCGAGGGGCAGCGGGGUGUAGCAAUACAUCGCCGGCGACCGGCGCACGGGUGCGUAACACGUAUGGAAUCUGCCCUGUACUGGGGGAUAGCCCUCCGAAAGGAGGAUUAAUACCCCAUAACAACUUGAGUGGCAUCACUUGGGUUUGAAAGCUCCGGCGGUACAGGAUGACCAUGCGCCCGAUUAGCUAGUAGGUGAGGUAACGGCUCACCUAGGCUACGAUCGGUAGGGGGCCUGAGAGGGUUAUCCCCCACACUGGUACUGAGACACGGACCAGACUCCUACGGGAGGCAGCAGUGAGGAAUAUUGCGCAAUGGAGGCAACUCUGACGCAGCCAUGCCGCGUGCAGGAAGAAGGCGCUACGCGUUGUAAACUGCUUUUAACCGGGAAGAAACCCCAGGACGUGUCCUGGGUUGACGGUACCGGAGGAAUAAGCACCGGCUAACUUCGUGCCAGCAGCCGCGGUAAUGUAG